CCUACGGGUGGCUGCAGUGGGGAAUUUUGCGCAAUGCGCGCAAGCGUGACGCAGCGACGCCGCGUGAAUGAUGAAGGCCUUAGGGUUGUAAAGUUCUUUUGACAGGGAAGAAAAUGCAUAUAUGUAACUGUGUAUGUAUGGACGGUACCUGUAUAGGUAGCCCCGGCGAACGCCGUGCCAGCAGCCGCGGUAAUACGGAGGGGCGUAGCGUUGUUCGGAGUGACUGGGUGUAACGGGAACGUAGGCGGUGUUGUAAGUCAGUUGUCAAAGUGUGGAGCUCAACUUUAGAAAUGCUAGUGAUACUAGGAGACUAGAGUAUCGGAGAGGAAGGCGGAAUUCGUGGUGUAGCGGUGAAAUGCGUAGAUAUCAAGAGGAAUACCGAUAGCGAAGGCGGCAUACUGGCUGGAAACUGACGCUGAGGCUCGAAAGCGUGGGUAGCAAACAGGAUUAGAUACCCCAGUAGUC
rnacentral:rRNA from 1 species